GUGUAAUCACUCACACUGGUGCUUAAAAGGUACAAGUUUAUUUAAUUUCUAAUUUUUUGUCAAGAUGAAUUCUCAGUGGUCUUUUUUCCAAGAUGGUAAAAUUUAACCUCACAGUAACUCUUGAUGAUGCUCUUGGUCAACUGAAAUAUAACAUGAUUUCCAACUGGUGAGUCAAAAAUAUGGUGAUCUAGCUCAGUAAAGACUGUGUAUGGACAAUGAAGCCAGAACAGAACAGUAUGGACAAUGCAACCAGAACAGAAGUGGUCAGAACAUAUAAACAUCUGCUUUUUGGGUGACCACUUUUCUUGAUGAACAUUUUGUAUCAACUGUUUUCAUAGUACUUCAUCCUUAGGGAUGUUUAUCAUGUUAAUGCAAGUCUAAUUUCAA